CUGAUUCUUUUUAAACCUGUUCUUCUGUUUUAGGCAGCGGACCAAAGUAAUGAAACCUCUGUAGGCAGAGCUGACGUUUCUAAACACACAAACUAAAUGAUGUUGAUGAUAUUUGUGGAAARGUUUCACCUCAGCUCAUCCGAUCAGAGUUAAUGAUGCUGUUUUAUUCCUCUGUCAGCUGAACGGAACCUCCAAUGCAACAGAAACCAGUUCUGUGAUGGAUCCAGAACCUGCAGACUCAAGGGAAACAAAGCUUCUUGUUGGAGGUAAACUGGGACAUGAAGCUGAAAAAGAAACAACAAAAACAUCAGGGGUGGGUGGAGAAAGAAAAGACAAGACUGCUCAGUACAGCACUGUUGUUUACUCCAUCAGGAAGAGAAGAAGAAAAACUUCAUGAAAUAAAAAUAUAACCUCUAUUCCUAAAGAGCUGGUUCAUUGUGUAAAGUGUAAAUGAAAGUAGAAUACAGUGAUGUGUAAAUCUAAUAAAAAACAUCAUUUAUGUGUUUGUUUAUCAGCAGAAACCUGCUGGUUCUUGGCACCUCCUCCCCCAGAGGAAGAAGUGAACCAGAAAAGAAAAAAAUGAAAGAAGAUAAAGCAUGGGAGGCUGUGAUCCAGAUGGUUUUCCCUCUGUGUUUUAAAUAAAUCUGUAAAUAAAUGAGAAAAUGUCUGGYCCARGUUUCAGAAAGCAGGCUUAACAAGUCCUGAGUAGAAGGCAGAUAAUCUGAAUCAACCUACCCUGAUCGGUGAUACUCAGGAUUUUCAGUUUCAGAACAGGUGAUAUUCCUGAGUUAAGUUGGAGUGAGUAUAAAAGAAGCCCUCAUCAAUGGAAGUCAGAUAACAUGAUUCACCAUGGCAGUGAGAGAAAAUAAGAAGACUCAAAGUCCAUAUGGAACUAGAAAUAUUAAUGAUGGCAUAUGGAGAAUAUCAACAUAUAUUUAAAAAAAAGGCAGUCCGGUUGCUGCUUCAAGAGAGAGAGUUAGUGUGGCAGAGAACUGCUGACCAAGUCAAUGCAUGAUUAUGAUUUUACAGAAAUCUUAACUUUUACUCUUUACAGUUAUUCAAGUGAAUAAAAGUGAGCGUGUGUGUGCAGGGAAWGUGUGUGAACCCAGCCGGUAGCAAACAGACGUGGCAGCAAAUAAAGAUUAAAUAUGAAAACAUAGUAAAACCAGGAAAGGUAAGGUAUAAGCUCUUUUCAACCUUUAACAAAUAAAUUACAUAAAUUCAGCUAAAUUCACCACAUGAAAUUAUUGUGCCCCCAAAAAACAAUGUGUAUUACURCACCUUCCCUCUGCCAAUGUUUAAUAUUGUACACUUGAAAGUAYCAUGAUAAUGUAAGGAUAUGUUUAAUUAGUGCUUAUAGGUGAAUAAUUCUGACCUCCAUUUACUGCAGGUUAAAACUGSCCGUGCCACKUGUGGUGUUCCUCAAGGGUCAGUUCUUGGGUCCCUGCAAUUUUCCCUUUACAUGCUGACUUUAGGUCAAAUCAUUGAUCGGUACAACAUUUCUUUUCACCGUUAUGCUGAUGAUGCACAGCUUUAUAUCAGGAGUGGAGCAUCAUCAUCACCAUUAUCAUCUCCAUCUUCACUAACUGCCCCUCACUACCUACCUGGAGGAGAUAAGGGCAUGGAGGUGAUACUGUUCGGUACCCCUCACCAGAUUCAAAAAUCAACUAUCAAAUUAAUAGACUCCACCAAGAAAAUUACACCAAACAAAUACAAAAUCUAGGAGAAAUAAACUAACAAAACCAAACCUGUCCUGCAACCAAUCCCGGWCGAGCCCCCAUUAUGUUACAACCCACUGGCUCAACAGGAAGUAACACAAUGAGACCCAAGACAAAAACGUGGGAUUAACUAAAAAAGUUUAUUAAACUGGAAAUGAUGUAGUUGGGGAGCACCACAACCAGGCUGCAGCCUGCAGCAAGGAAGGGAAGAGAGGGGUAGAGAGCCAGCUCAGAGGAGAGGGUGUGGCUCCCUCAAAUAGGCUGCUCACAUUUGCAGGUAGUAGGGAUGAUUAGUGGUAGAUGUUUAACCUGCAAAAGAGAAAACAAGUAUACACAACAACCCCGUAACAAUGGCUAGAACCUUCUCUGGCCAAGACAUCCCCCUCUCCACCUCUGCUACUAAUCUUGGAGUGAGAAUGGACUCUCAUUUGAAAAUCACAUCAAGCAUCUGUUUAAACRGUUUCUUCCAUCUCCGUAAUAUCUCCAAACUUCACCCAUCUCUCACUUUUGCUGAUGCAGAGAAACUCGUCCAGGCCUUUGUCUCCUCCAGGCUCYACUACUGUAGCUCUUUGUUUAUUGGAAUCCCAGGCAAAAACCUUCAGAAGCUUCAAUACAUUCAAAACUGUGCUGCCAGGACUGAGAGCUCGUAAAUCUGAACAUAUUAGACCCAUUGUCCAUAACCUCCACUGGCUUCCUGUCACCUACAGAAUUCAGUACAAGAUUGCUCUCAUUACCCAUCAGUGUUUAAAUGGAACAAGAAUGUCAAAAGGACCUUCUUGUUCCAUAUUCAUCCAUCCGUUCUCUCCAGUCACAGAACAGUAACCUCCUUCACCUCCCAUGAACUAAAUUAAGGACCAUGGGAGAUCGGGCUUUCUGUUUGCCCCCCUGCUUCUGGAACAGCACUGCAAUCAUUUGUUGACUUUAAAAAAGGCUUAAAGACUUUUCUCUUUAAACAAGUCUAUUCUGCCCCUGCAUGAUUUUUUAAAUAGAUUUUAGUUACUUUUAAGAGUUUAAAAGUUGGAGAGAUUUUUUGACAUUUGUAGCACUUUUGAGAUUUUUUCUAAUGAAAAGUACAUUACAAAUUUAAUUCAUUUUUCUGUCCCUAAAGCUUCCUGUGAAAUAGCUACAAGCUGUAGGCUACUUGAAAGGAUUGAAACUGGUGCAAUAACAUCUAAAAAGCUCAAAUAUAUUCGUCCAGAAAUGACGAGGUGUCUAAUCGUGGUCUUAUCAUGCUCUACCCAUGUAGAUUUCUGCAGAGUAUUAGCGCUCCAACAUCUAAAAGGACACUGUUGUGCAGCUCUCAGCUAAAACAAGACAAACUCAGGAUUUGUUUAAGUCAGAGGUUCUCAAACUGAGGUCCCAGGACCCCCAGCGGGUCCGCAAGAGA